GUCAUGUGCACCUGUACCAAGGAAGGGAACAACUUUACGAGCUCCGCAAGACCAGCCUGGGACGUGUGAUCUGCGACAACAGCGACAAGCUCCAGCACGUCCAGCCCAAGGUCAUGCUGGAGGCUGAUUCCUUCCUGAAUGCCCCAAUGGCCU